ACCUUGUUUGGUUUCCUCUUUGCUUAUGGACGUGGCGUGUGGAAGCACGGAGCAAACAGCGCCAUGUGCCCCGAGGGAGAGCGGCUGUGUGAGCCCUGCUCAGUGGUCCCAGCGGUGUCGUGCUGCCAUCGCGGUGGAUUCCGUUCAGAACAAACCCCAAACAUGUAGGAAAACUCUAGAAUGCCAGAAGUUAUGGAAUCCUUGCUCCAUCUCAAGAAGAGGACCAUGAUCUGAAUAGUUACAGAAGAGUUUUCUUGUCCUGCUGCUUUUACCGUGAACAGCAAGUCAUCAACAAAUCUGUGGUGAAAGUUCCGAUAUUUCAAAGGACGUAUAAUCUGCUGUGCUUUUCAGAAUCCCGAAAUAGCUACAGAAGAAUUAAUAAAGGCAUUACCCCAGUGGUUUUCCUGUAACUAACCGUGAUGAUGGCUUACCCAAGUUCCCAGUAUUGUUCUGUGUCUUGGAACUGCAGGUUUUCCACAAAAGAAAAUCUGGUUGUGUCAAGAGCAACUUCAUCAAGCCAUAAUAAGUGCUGCUCACCCAGAACCUUGAAUAUUUAGUUGCGUAGUCUCUGAGAGCCGUGGUGUUUGCAGUAUGAUCGUGAAUAGACGGCUGUGCAGAUCAUUUUCAGGCAUGAGUGGAAACUCUCAUGGUUCAGACUUGUCUUGACAUUGAACGGGGCAGGUGUGUCCACAUAAGGUGCAACAGAGAGGAUUUGCAUGCUGGCUUGCUGAAGUGACAGAAUUGUGCAAAAUAACUGCAGUGGUCUGGCAAGCUUCAGGAAGCAGAUUAUUCAUGUUGUUAACAUGAGGCGUUUCAGUCAGUUGGGGACACAAAUCAUUCAGCUGCAGCUUUUACCUCCUAAUUCACUGUGCAUGUAACAAACCCACGACCGUCUCACCAACUGAUGCACUUUUUCACUCUGUUAACUCCAUCGAUUUCACUCAUCUCACGGAGAGCACGUUGAGGAGGAAGGAGACCAAUGGUUUUCAUUGCUAAAUCUUCGAGAAAAAAAUCAGAGGAGCGACUGGAAAACAUCUUCCAUGGAAAAGAGGAAAGAUGCUAAGGGACAGGAUGUAUCCUCCUUGACACAGAGUGGUCAAAGAGCCAGCUUUCUCCCCUCUCUAAAGAGUUCUCAGAUAACUGUCUAGGAAAGUGCAGUCUCCCCAGCUGUUAACAGCAGGAUAUAUUGCAGCACUCUAGACUGCUGCUGCCAUGUCAUCUCAGCGCCUCCAGGGUCAGCUGAGUGCAUUAAAUUAACAGUUUUCCCAGGCAAGGCAAAAUGUCUGUGAACAGAAUGGUGCAGCAUAAUAAUGGCAUACGUACCUGCUUCAACAUUAAAUGUUUUGGUAAGAGCAGGAACCAUUGAAGUGAUUCUGACUUGCAUGACUUAGUGCCAAACACUCGUUAUCACACAGAAGUCGCGUCCCACUGUGUGUCAGUUUAGCACCACUUAACAUUUUCAUUGCUUAUUUUAGAAUCAUUGCCUUUUUUUCCAUCCUUAGUAAUUUAUGAGCUUAGAAUUAUCGAUAAUGUGAAGCUUCAUUACAAACUAUCUGGAGGAUUCUCAUCUGACUCGUCCCAUUAAAUUAUUAUUCCCAAACAUGGUUUCUAUUUAAUAAGACAUCAAUUGAGCAUCAAUAAAGUAAUAAUUAAUGAGCUGUGUCUUCAUAGAAAUACAGAUAGCUUAAAUACACACCAAAUGCAGCAUGCAGUCUGCAGGAGGGCUGUCAAAUCUCUGAGAACAUUGUCUGUUUAGUAUUUAGAAUAUGAUAAUAAACCACAACUUAAUUGCUAUGGUCUUCAGCUAAUCAUGUGACAACUGUAAAUCACACCAAACUAUGAACCUGUAAGGCAGAACUGGGAAGUAACAAAGUGUUCUACAUAGGUGAGAAGAUAGUCUCAAAACACUACAAACACCAACGGGACUUCAUGUUUCCACAAAACAUCACAAGAAUUUUGGUUAGGGUAACUGUCUGUUUUCUUCUUUAACAUGAUCUGUUGGAUUGAAAUGCUCUAUUUUUUCAUGCAGAAAAAGUUAAAACAAUUUUAAGGACUGAAACUUCUGCCUAAAAAGCAAAACAUUAAAAUAGCCUAAAGUUCAACAAUGUUGUUUUGGUCUCUUGUUCUAACAAUCUAUCACUCUAAAGGACAAGCUCCACCAGAUGUUUAUAUUCAGAAAGAAGUGACGCUACUUCAUCCCAGAGAAUUUCAGCCCCUUAAUCCUAUUGCACCUUACAGCUCCAGGAGCCACUUCCACUUCCACACUUACAUUUCCUCAGCUUACACAAAUCCCACGAGACUUAUUGGAGGAAGAGAAAGGACAGGAGUAGAAGUUUCUCAUGGAUUAUUUUUCUCCUAAAUUUCUGGUGUUUAUUUUUUAUUUUCCUUUAUUACUCAAAUUUCAUCAAGGAUCAAACAAGAGCUUUAGACAGACAGGGUGAACAUUUUGUCAGUAUCACACUUACCUUUGUCCCAGUUCAUUAAGAAGCAUUUACUCCCUGCUCCCUCAGACCCCCACUUAUGUAGGAUUUACACAAGGGCUUUAAUUGCACAUCUCUGGAAAAAAGCCAAAAGACAUUAACCAUCCUCCAAUGACAGCUUGAUGCUUCUUAAUAUUCAUUGAAUCUCCUUUUCAUCCACGACACUUGUCUUGUCACUGCUCAUGUCCACUAUUUGGCUUCUCAAUCACACAAUCAAGGAUUAUAAGGGCAGUUGUCCUCUAGUGCAAAACACAACUUGAUGCCAACAUCACAGCCUCACUUAAACCUUUAACACCCCUUGAACUUGAGAUGUUUACAGUGCUACAGAGAUGUGCUAUUCAAACCCCAGCAUAGAGAGGUUUCAGUUUAAGAUGUUAAGAGCUGAAUGAGCCAUGAAGACUUUCUGGUCUGACCUCCUGCAAUGCAUUUUCACUCAGUCACUUCCAUCUUAAUCCCCAUAAUAUACCUGAAUCAAACACAUCUUCCCGAAAGGUUUGACCUCUUAAUCUGUCACUGAAAACUCUAUUACUCUACCACCAAUUUACACUGGUAUUAUUACCUCACACUCCACAAUUGAGAUGCCCAGUUGAGCUUCUCAGUUUGUCACUCCUACCUCCAGCCAAUGAUUUGAGCUUCUCUCUGCCACUUAGUGAUUCAAUAUUUCCUGUUUUGGUCCCACAAGGGAACUAGACACAUUAGAGGUUCUAGUAUUUCUACCAUUCAGAAUCAUGCAAGCAAUAGCAUGCGUACAUGUACAUCUCUAGUAUGUCUUCUUACCUUGAAGGACAUACCAGAAUCCAGAGACAAUCACAGCAAUCCUCUGCCGUGUUCUCUUCCUCCUAAACAGAUCCAGCUCCAUUCCUUUCUGAGACACUCUCAGGGAAAUGAUGAAAAGUUUAAAGUGGAAAGAACGUGCCCACAGCUUUAAGGGACAGCUCCAUUUUUAAAGCAACCAGUUUACCACAGACUCCAUUCCCCAUCAGUUAACCACACAAGUUUUAGAAUAUUAAUUUCUCUUCCUUAAACACAUCCACUCUGGAUUAGUUUCACCACCCUCAUUCAAUCAAAAUACUCACUAAUUCUAAUGGAUGUUUCUCUUGAGUAAGAAAGAAUACAACCUUUGGUUUCCGAGCCUUCUUUACAACAGAUUUUGUGAAAGUCAAAAUAAAUAACGUACAGCUAUUCACCUUUAGGUAGUGCAAAAACAGUCCCCAGAGUGAUAGCUUUCAGUUCAUCUCCAGUGAGAGCUGUAUAAGCUGUAAGCUGUUCUAUAAACACAGCAAUGAAUAACAAUCAGUCUCUCACUCCUCUCUGUCUCUGGUGUGACAGACCCUUAAUUAUGGCUAUUAGAUUAUUAUUUUCUCCAGAGAAUCCUGUGAGGCAAAAGCAGUGUUCUUCUCUGGACAUCAAAGGCAGAAUUAAGACCCCGCUUAGGAAAGCUCCUCAGAAACAGCUGCUGUUCAUCCCCACUAAGGAAUGCCCUAUUUGAGACCAAGUGUGCAGCUGCAGCCCAUGCAAAAACCAGUACUCUGCUUUGAAGGGAAAGAUACUCACCUGAAGCACAGAAAGCCCACCUCCUACUAAGCUCUGACAAGCUAUUCAGAUCUCUGUUAUCUUAGCCAGACUUCCGUAUCCCGCAAAGAUCACCCACUGCACCAGUGAGGCUUGCAACACAACAGCACAAAAGCAGCAGCACAAAUUAUGACUGUGUAGCAGAGAACAGUGAACUAGAAACCACCCACCUAAGGCACACUGUACCACCAGCAUCUGUUGGUGCAUAUAUCUGCUUUUUAUGUGCAAGGUUUAUUGGAAUCCUUUGGGGAUAACUCUGCAUGCUCCCACAGUUGACUAGUAGGCAGAAGAAUGUCUGCACACCAGGAGAGACCAACAAGGCAGAAUCAAGACUCACGCUGACACCCUGCAACAAAUGAUUCCUGAAUACUUUGUUUGUAGGUAACACGAAUCAAUCCUUACACAGUAAUUACUAGAAAAUUAAUGUAACUGCCUCCCAAGAGAAUUACUGGUUAAUACAAUUAUCGUCUGUGGGUACGUAAAGCAAGAUAAGUAUAGACAGCAGGCAAGAGUAUAUAUAUAUGACAACCUAUGUGGUUUAGGCUUGUUUCAGAACAUUGUAGCAACUUCUUAUAACAGCACCAGUGUAAAAAGUAAUGUCUGGCAAUUUAUCAGUUCUUAAUAAAGCACUGUGCUUAAUAGUUUAACUGCUGAAGCUGCUCUUGAUUUUGAUUCAGCUGAUUUUUGUCUGGGCUCAGCACUAGGGCUUAUCCCUGUUUCCCUGGCUCCUUCAGGUUUUGACAGUUCCAAGUUCUUACUUGAUUGGACUUAAAAUAAAUAAAUAUUAGGAACUGCUUAUGCAGCACUGCCCCAUCUGUCCGCAGCCCGUGUGCAAAAUUAAUAUUGGUUCAAGACACUAGAAAUGCAUACAUGCACAUUAAGAGCAUAGGUUCCAGGAUGAACAUUGCACUACCCAUGAAUUCCACAACCUAAAUGCACACCGUCACUCAAUUAAAUGAAACCCAAGUAGCCUCUUUGUGCCAACCGGAUAAAGUAUUUUCAGAUGAAACACAUUUGUGAAGGUAAGUUCUUUCAGGGUUUCACAGACAUGUGGUUAGUAAGCAAAAGGUAAGUGCAUUUAAAAUGACUGCCAAAAAUUAAACUGGUUCCACACCUACACAACAGCAAUUACUUAGAUGCAUUUGAAGCAGAAUAUAUUAUAUCACACAUCACAAUUGUCAAGAGCUGUCAUAAGCCAUUUUGAUAUACAAAGCACAGUCCUCAGUUACACCCUUAGACAACAAGUAAUGCUUCUUUGUGCUUCUCUGUCCAUGUAUCUCUCACAUGAGAUACAACCCUCAGCUGUGGGAGCUCAGCGCCUUCCCACCAAUUUAAGUCAGCCGAGUGGUAUUACUAAAGGUAGCUCAUGUCAUUCUGAGCACGGUUUAAAAGCUGCACAGUAUUUUUGACAGAGCUUUGUGAUUCCAGAAAUCCAGUGUCUAAAUGAAGGUCUGCUGGGAAAAGAAAGAAUAGCUGAUUUGUCACAAAAAAAAUAAAAACAAUAAUCAAUCUUCCACUGCCCAAUUCCAUUCUUAAUGAAUGAGACAAUUCAGAAAGCUAUGGGAACAUGCUUUAUUGAUUCAUUCACAAGUCACUAAAACCCACUGCUUAGGUUCCCUCCAAUAAGACAAACCGCACACUUUUGGCGUACUGCAUUGCAGGAAAAGCCGAUGGCUCCACAUCUGUUCUGCUGGAAGUCCAGAGAGACUGAACAUAGCCAAUAAAUCUAAACGCAGCACACCACUAGGUUAAUGAUAAAUGUGUGUAGAAGACAAAGAGACUUGCAUUUCCUCUUUAUUAUCCCUUCAGUUGAGCCACUGCCUUAUCUGUAAUUUAUUUACCCAAGACAGUUGGGUCCAGAUGCAUACCUGUUUUUUUCCACCGAAGUACUUGUUUUUCUCCAUUUUGCAGAUGGAUUAAAUAAGCCAGGAGGAGGCCAACCUACACGUGUGAGGUCACACAGAGAACUGUAAUCUACACUGCAGUAGAUGCCUGAAUCCAUUCAAGUUCAAGACCUAAUUUGGCAUAAAGCUAGUGUGUAGCUGUACUGCACUGUAUAUUUUAUAAACAUAUCCUUCAAUAAUCUCCUGUGCUUCUCAUGAAAGCAAUAACAAGCAGUAAGAACAGCUGAGUCUGUAUUGGGCAAGCUUUCCUAUUAAAUUCCAGCAAUACAUCUCAGCUGUGACCUGUAGCAAUUUGGGUAACCUAAUAAGGCUGACUGUCCCAAAAGAAUCAGGGAUGAUACACUAUCUACCUGCAAGAUAAGAGGAAGUACAAGAGAGCAACUUUACAGCAAGUUACACCUAGCAGAGAAAAAGUGAACCUAAAAAAAUAGUCUAAGAAAAUACAGUAAGAGAAAACACAUUAUUGAGAAUAUGACAUUUGUUCAUAUAGUCCAAUAGAUACUCACCACCAUUUCAACAUCCAUUUCCAACUAAAACAUCACAUCCACAUGUCCUGUUUAACAGAGUACGCUACACUGAGACAUCAUGUAGGGCCUCCUGGUAAUUACAGUUGGUACAAUUUUCCCAGCGCAUGUUACCUGAAGUUGGGUAUUUUAGCAGGUUCGCCCACCUCUUGCUAGAAAUCCAAACAGUCAUCUACCUUACCAUGCAAUGGCAUUUAAAGAACUCUUAAAGUCAUACCAAUACGUAUGUUUCCUUUACACAUUCAUUUAAUAAGCAUGCACAGAUCUGGUCAGGCAUAUAUUAGUCUCUACUUCAAAACUCACCUGUCCAGCUGUAUUAUGAUUUCUGUUCCCUAGUGGUUCUCAUACAAACUUACGUACAGAACGGCUUCAGAAAGUGGUCUCUGCUCUCAUAUGUCUGCUGGAUAAACAAAGCAACAAGCAAUUUAGUGGCGUACAGGAGAAUUAAAUAUUUUUAAUGCACUUCAGUGUUUCCCCUAAUUCUAAAAAUCAACCAAAAACCUUCGAUAUAAAAAUCACUUUUCCUUUAGAAAUGCCUCUCAGCAGGGUAGCGCUCACAGCCGCAUUAUCGCUGUGUGUUCCAAGCCAUCAGUAUUCAGUGCGCUAAGAAGAGAUGCUGAAUUCUGCAAUCAGAAACACAAAGUUUCAAAAAAAGAUUUCAGAAUUUAUGUGAAUAUAAAUAGCUGUACUGAAUGCUUCAAAGACUGGAAACAUUGUAGAGAUUUACACGUCAGCCUGUUUUGACAGACAAACAGACAAAAGUAUACUUUGUAAAGGAGCAGUAAGAUUUCCACUGUAACACUUCCCAUAAUUAGAUCGUAAGAGACACUGAAAUAUUUGCAUUCACGAUACAGAAGUCUCAUUUCUGCUUCCUGCCUGAGCUCCUGAACAGCACCUACUUGUCUCACCUUAACAUACAUUCACGUAAGCCCCAUGCUUCCUGCAGAUGUUCACACCCACCAUCAUCUUUCCCACCCUGCUCACUCCUCAUCAUUUAGUGGAGAGAUCCACAUUUUCCAAAGGCUUUCUUUUCUUCUGAAACAGAAGCUAAUGCUGCUUAAUGCUUAACACUAAGCAUUAAUAUACACCAAACUAAAAACGCUGAUAAAACUUUCCUCUGAAAGGAAAUGUAAUUGGAAAGAUGCUUUUCCUAACAGUGCUUCCUGUUCUUCACUCCAAAUGAAGAAGUAUUGCUUAUUGUUUUCUGUGUUCUCUCUUAGUGUGGCACAAUUCAUUUGAGCUCCAAAUCCCCCCAGAGUUCUGUGGCCAACCUCCAGUGUGUUUCCAGGAUGUAAAGGUCAGAGCUGAAGAGGACACAGAGCGCACAGAAGAAAAGCCUCAGAACCCCUUGCUUCAAGUCCAUCACUUUCACAGAUAAAAACCAGACAGCAAAGCGCUCCUCCUUUAGAGGCAAAUCAGCCAUGGUAGGAACCACUCAAACAACCUGCAACAACUGAGGAUGGGCACUCCUGAAAUAAAGGAGAGAGGAUGGCUUUCCCAGAGAACUUCUGCAUGGAAAUCUGGCUUCUGAAUUUCUUAAAUGAAAACCUUACGCUGAGAAUUCCAAACAACAUGGACUGUAAUGCUGGGCUAUCAUGCAGCAUUUGGUGACAUACCCCAGUCCACGUUCCUGGAUUCAUCCCACCCCCACACUACAAAGAUGUCUUUCCUCAGCCUGCUCUCCUGCCAGCCAUGGUCCUGACAAGGUGUUACUGCUUUGGUCUGAACAUUGGUUCAUUUUCCCUUUGCUGGCUGGUUCCAUUGCUCUUAAAAAAGCACCAUCCAGUCUCAAUCUCAGUGUUCCCUAACUGCUUUAUCCUCACUUUCACAUUUUAUACUUUUUGUAUAAUCACUUCUCAGGAACAAACUGUAAUACUACUAGUUAAUGGAACAGGAGUCAUUACUAAUAAAGCCUAUAAAAAGGAAAACCAGUAUCCCAUCAAACAUAUGUAGAGGAUGCACCUUCCAACAUUAAAGCUCUGAUUUGCAACCUGAAA